rnacentral:rRNA from 1 species
AACGAACGCUGGCGGCAUGCCUAACACAUGCAAGUCGAACGAGACCUUCGGGUCUAGUGGCGCACGGGUGCGUAACGCGUGGGAACCUGCCCUUAGGUUCGGAAUAACUCCCCGAAAGGGGUGCUAAUACCGGAUAAUGUCUUCGGACCAAAGAUUUAUCGCCUUUGGAUGGGCCCGCGUUGGAUUAGCUAGUUGGUAGGGUAAAAGCCUACCACGGCGACGAUCCAUAGCUGGUCUGAGAGGAUGAUCAGCCACACUGGGACUGAGACACGGCCCAGACUCCUACGGGAGGCAGCAGUGGGGAAUAUUGGAAAAUGGGCGAAAGCCUGAUCCAGCAAUGCCGCGUGAGUGAUGAAGGCCUUAGGGUUGUAAAGCUCUUUUACCCGGGAUGAUAAUGACAGUACCGGGAGAAUAAGCUCCGACUAACUCCGUG